rnacentral:rRNA from 1 species
GGGGUCGAAUUUAAAUGGAUAGCUUAGAUUAUGUGGUGUCAUAACCGUCGAUCAAGUAGUCCUUACAGGAUUGCCCCCCCGAAGGUUGACCUAUUUGGGUGAAUGAAACCCCACUCUUCUUUGUUAAAUGAGCUAACCCUUUCUCCCUUAAAGGGGACAAUGUAAGUUGGUCAGUUUGGUUGGGGCGACCGCCUUUUAAAGAGUAACGAAGGUGUGCUUAAGGUACAUUAUUAAUAACACAAGCCUGACUGCUAGGGGGACCCUCCGAGCAGACACCUAAAGUCUUCUCCCUUCCCCCCGAAGGUUAAAGACGAAUGGUGGGUUAUAGUGACCCGUUAAUUUAGAGUGGAAUAG